GAAUUCAUUUAUUUCCUAAAGCGAGGCCCCGCAUACCCGCUUAAGGUGGUGACCCGCGCGUUCCUUUACGCUGUUCCCAGGCCCUAAUAAUCCAAAUCCUAUCAUGUUGAACCUGGGAGGCAAACGGCAAGGUGAAAAGUCCUCCACGGUUUCUCUGGCCCGCGUUUCCGAGAGUGAAGGGCCGUUCCUAUUGGAGAUCGCGUCAGCGCUGAAAGUUGGUUGCAACGUCUGCACUCGGGGGCGGGGAAACCGUCUCAUCCUGGGAUCUUCAUAGUUGGCUGUUCUCGAGAGUUCUCGGUGUUUUUACUAGUUGGCCUCCCGCAAGCCUCUGCGCCAACUUGGGAGGAGUUGACCCCUUGCGGCUCUACGAACAGAGGAGUGCGGGGGUGCAGCGAAUGAACACGAUGCCCAGAUCGGAGACAGAAGACGGAAAAGAAAUGUUUCGAUAAUGAAACAAGCAACAUCGUUUAUAUGAGUAUCACAUUGACUCCCCUCUUCUCAGAGAAGUGCGGAUUUCCAUCUUCCAACCUAAAACGAUCCCUGGCUCCCCCCACAUUUGGCGCGCCCUGCAGUUGGUCUCUGCCGCGCCGGGCGACCCUGAGGUCACGUGCUCCUCCUGUCCUUCUGGCGGAACGUGCUUCCUGCUGCGGUGACGUUCGAGCCAUGGCAGCCCUGCUGAGAUCCUCGUGUUGGCUGCUGCGUGCCGGGGCGGCCCCGCGCCUCCCGCUCUCCCUGCGCCUCCUCACUGGCGGCCCGGGCCGGCCGCAUGCCGCCUCCUAUCUGCCUGCCGCUCGCGCCGGGCCCGUGGCCGGAGGACUACUGAGCCCAGCCAGGCUGUAUGUCAUUGCUGCUGAAAAAAAGGAUAUUCAAGAGGAGUCCACUUUUUCUUCUAGAAGGAUUGCCAGUCACUUUGAUUGGGCUCUGAUGAGACUAGAUAAUUCUGUUCGAAGAACUGGCCGCAUUCCAAAGAUGCUUCUACAAAAAGUCUUUGAUGACACCUGCCGCUCAGGUGGCCCAGGUAGUAGUCAUGCCUUGCUCCUACUACGUAGCUGUGGUUCUCUAUUGCCUGAACUAAAGCUUGAAGAGAGAACAGAAUUUGCUCAUAGGAUAUGGGACAAACUUCAGAAAUUAGGUGCUGUGUAUGACGUGAGUCACUAUAAUGCUUUACUUAAAGUCUAUCUUCAAAAUGAAUAUAAAUUCUCACCAACUGAUUUCCUGGCAAAAAUGGAGGAAGCGAACAUUCAACCAAAUCGAGUGACAUACCAGAGAUUGAUUGCUUCUUACUGUAAUAUGGGAGAUAUUGAAGGUGCCAGCAAGAUUCUUGGAUUUAUGAAAACUAAGGAUCUCCCAGUUACAGAGGCAGUAUUCAGUGCCCUUGUGACAGGGCAUGCCAGAGCUGGUGAUAUGGAGAAUGCAGAAAACAUUCUCACAGUGAUGAGAGAGGCUGGAAUUGAGCCUGGUCCAGACACAUACCUCGCAUUAUUGAAUGCAUAUGCUGAGAAGGGCGACAUUGACCAUGUUAAGCAGACUCUGGAGAAGGUGGAGAAGUCCGAGCUUCACCUUAUGGACCGUGAUUUAUUCCAAAUUAUUUUUAGCUUCAGUAAAGCUGGGUAUCCUCAGUAUGUCUCAGAAAUUUUGGAAAAAGUUACAUGUGAAAGAAGAUAUAUUCCAGAUGCAAUGAACCUCGUUUUACUUUUAGUCACUGAAAAAUUGGAAGAUGUAGCUUUGCAAAUUUUACUAUCAUGCCCUGUAUCAAAGGAAGAUGGCAUAAGUGACUUUGGCAGUUUCUUUUUACGACACUGUGUGACUAUGAAUACGCCUGUGGAGAAGCUAACAGACUACUGUAAGAAGUUGAAGGAAAUCCAGAUGCACUCCUUUCCUCUGCAGUUCACCCUCCAUUGUGCUUUACUUGCCAAAAAAACUGAUUUGGCAAAAGCCCUAAUGAAGGCUGUGAAGGAGGAAGGUUUUCCUAUCAGAACUCACUACUUCUGGCCGUUGCUAGUUGGACAUCAGAAGGAAAAAAAUGUUCAAGGUAUAAUUGAAGUCCUGAAAGUAAUGCAAGAAUUGGGAGUACCUCCUGAUCGGGAAACAUAUAUAGGUUACGUGAUUCCAUGCUUCAAUAGUAUAAAGUCAGCACGUGCCAUUUUGCAGGAAAAUGGAUGUCUGUCUAAUAGUGAUACGUUUUCUCAAGCUGAAUUGAGAAGCGAAGCAAUAAAUGGGAACUUAGACUUUGUAUUAUCAUUUUUGGAAUCAAAUACAUUGCCUCUCUCGCUGCAGUCUAUAAGAAGUAGCCUACUGCUAGGCUUUAGGAGGUCUAUGAAUAUAAACCUUUGGAGCAAGAUAACAGAAUUGUUGUACAAGGAUGGACGUUAUUGCCAGGAGCCUCCAGGACCAACGGAAGCUGUUGGCUAUUUUCUUUAUAACUUGAUUGACAGCAUGAGUGACUCAGAGGUACAGGCCAAGGAGGAGCGUUUGAGACAAUACUUCCAUCAGCUGAAGGAGAUGAAUGUAAAAAUUCCUGAAAAUAUCUGCAAAGGCAUUCGUAAUCUACUGGAUAGCUACCAUGUUCCUGAAUUGAUUAAGGAUGCUUAUAUGUUGGUUGACAGUGAGAAUUUAGACUCUCAAAAAACCCUGCGACUUAGGUCAUCUGAAUUGGAGUCUAGACUUGAAACAUUAAAAGCUGAAGAUCAACCUAUAAGAGAUGUCCUAAAGCAACUCAUAGUAGCGCUUUGUUCCCAAGAGAAUAUGCAAAAAGCCCUUGAAUUGAAAGCAAAAUAUGAAUCAGACAUGGUUAUCAGUGGUUAUGCAGCUUUAAUAAAUUUAUGCUGUCGACAUGAUAAUGCAGAAGAUGCCUUGAACUUGAAAGAAGAAUUCGACCGCUUAGAUUCAUCUGCUGUCCUUGACACCAGCAAGUAUGUAGGCCUUGUAAGAGUAUUGGCAAAGCAUGGCAGGCUCCAAGAUGCUAUUAACAUUCUGAAGGAGAUGAAAAAGAAGGAUGUUCCUAUCAGAGAUUCAACAGUCUUGUCCUUUUUCCACAUCCUAAAUGGCGCAGCUUUAAGAGGUGAAAUUGAAACAGUAAAACAGUUGCAUGAAGCCAUCGUGACUCUAGGGUUAGCAAAACCAUCCACCAACAUAAGUUUCCCAUUGGUCACUGUAUACCUGGAAAAGGAUGACCUGUCUACCGCUCUUGAUGUCGCCAUUGACUGCUGUGAAAAGUAUAAAAUAUUACCAAGGAUGCAUGAUAUCUUGUGUAAACUGAUAGAGAAAGGCGAGACUGAUCUAAUUCAGAAAGCAAUGGACUUUGUGAGCCAAGAACAAGGUGAAAUGGUGAUGCUCUAUGAUCUCUUCUUUGCCUUCCUACAAACAGGAAAUUACAAAGAGGCCAAGAAGAUCAUUGAGACUCCAGGGAUUAGAGCUCGAUCUACAAAGCUUCAGUGGUUUUGUGACAAAUGUAUUGCAAAUAAUCAGGUUGAAACUCUGGAAAAAUUAGUGGAGCUGACACAGAAGCUAUUUGAAUGUGAUAGAGACCAGAUGUACUACAAUCUGCUAAAACUGUAUAAAAUGAAUGGUGACUGGCAAAGAGCUGAUGCUGUCUGGAAUAAAAUCCAGGAAGAAAAUAUUAUUCCUCGUGGGAAGACAUUAAGAUUAUUAGCGGAAAUCCUUAGAGAUGGUAACCAGGAAGUUCCAUUUGAGGUACCUGAGUGGUAUGAAGAUGAAAAACAUUCUCUGAAUUCUUCAUUGGAUUCUUCAUCAGACUCAACUACAGAACCUGAUUUCCAGAAAGAUAUAUUGAAUGCCUGCCAAUUGAAGCAAAACAAAGAGGCAUAUGGUAUUUUCCUGAAAGCAAAACAGCAAAACGUUGUAUUUAAUGCUGAAACCUACAGUGAUCUCAUUAAAUUACUGCUGUCAAAAGAGUAUUUUACACAAGCAGUGGAAGUGAAAGCAUUCGCGGAGACCCACAUCAAGGGCUUCACACUGAACGAUGCUGCCAACAGCCUCCUCAUCAUAACGCAAGUUAGGCGGGAUUAUUUGAAAGAGGCUCUAACAACGCUGAAAACAGCAUUGGAUCAGCAGCAGACCCCUUCGGGGAUAGCAGUGACCCGCCUCAUCCAGGCAUUGGCCAUGAAGGGUGAUGUUGAAAACAUAGAAGUAGUUCAGAAGAUGGUAAAUGGACUCGAAGACUCCAUUGGACUUUCAAAAAUGGUUUUCAUCAAUAACACUGCUUUGGCACAAAUAAAGAACAAUAACAUAGAUGUCGCAAUAGAAAACAUUGAAAAUAUGCUUACUUCAGAGAAUCCAGUCAUUGAACGCCAAUACUUCGGCUUGGCAUACUUAUUCAGAAAAGUAAUAGAGGAGCAGUUGGAACCAGCAGUUGAAAAGAUAAGCAUCAUGGCAGAGAGAUUGGCCAAUCAGUUUGCAAUUUAUAAACCUGUCACUGAUUUUUUCCUUCAACUUGUGGACGCAGGCAAGGUGGACGAUGCCAGAGCUCUCCUACAGAGAUGUGGUGCAAUUGCUGAACAAACCUCGAUUUUGUUGGUGUUCUUCCUUAGGAAUUCUGGGAAACGAGGAAAGGCAUCAACUCUGAAAUCUCUGUUAGAAUUGAUUCCUGAAUUAAACGAAAAGGAAGAAGCAUAUAGUUCCCUCAUGAAAAGCUAUGAAAAAUGAAAAACUUUUUUGGUGUUGAGCUGAUGAUCUUGAUGUAGAUUUCUCCAUAAUUGACAUGUCCCUCUCCACAACAGUUCCUGGAUUAUCUUGAUUUCAAAGUGGUUUUAAGCCAAAGGGGAUUGAAUGCCUCAGAGAAAGAUGUCACAUCUGCUAAAGCACUGUAUGAACAUUUGACUGCAAAGAAUACAAAAUUGGAUGAUCUGUUUCUCAAGCGUUACGCAGUUUUGCUGAAGAAUGCUGGAGAGUCUGUCCCUUUCACUGAACCCCCUGAAAGCUUUGAAUUUUAUGUACAGCAGGUAAAAGAAUUGAGGGAAAAUUCUUCCUGAAAAAGCAGGCGAUACUUUGUUUUGUAUAUAUUUGUGAUUCUGUGUCUACAUGUUAUUUUGAAGUGUAUUUGAAGGGAAAAAUAAAUGAAAAUUUUCUUUAUGUGUGACACAUGUUCAAAAUCUUAUUGACCAUAACUGUGCGCUUGGUUAUUGGACAUUUUUGGAGGUUUUUUCCUCUGGCAUAAAUUGAUAGCAUUUUCCUCAGUGCUGCUGCUGUGGGAAGCCAUACUUUUUCAAGAUUCUUCCCCUAAUUGGCUCUUUGGUUUCCCUGCUCUGUUUAUUUCAUUAAAAUGUUAUUCCUUUAUUUAAGACUCACUUAUUAGUCUGCUGUUUCUCUGAAAAAUUUUAGAGCUAAGUAUAGUGAUCGUGAACUUUCUAUUGCAUAAUAUUCUGCAAUAUAACAAUUCCUUACGUGUGUGAAGUCCUGCAUAACUUUCAAAUUUCAUUAAAUGUUGGCACUAGGAGUCAUCAGAUCUAGCCUUCAUCAUUUUCCAGUGAGAAGCAGAGACCCAAAGGGCCUGUCACUUGUGCUUGUUCAGGGGGCUGUCUGUCAUGCCUGGAGGCUCUUCGGCAUACUUCCCCCUCUUUCCCUUCUGCCACCGUGGCUUCCAAGCACCUCUGUUCAUAGAACGUCUCUGAAAUUAAGUCUUGGUCAUGACUUAUCCCAAAGUAGAGCGAUGUGUUUCCUCUCAUUUUAGUUUCAGGACUUUGUCAGCACAAGCUCUGCCCUAGGCUUGUUACUUUAUACUCAUAUCCUGAAAAGAUGUGGCUUCAUCUAUGAAGGGGCAAAAUACUGGUUUGUGUUUAAUUUUUUGAAAUAAAAGUUAUCCCUGUAUUGA